UCAUCGGCGGGAAGCGAAGAAGCUCGUCCUGUACCCGGGCACCUGGGACGAGCGGAGCCAGUGGUGCGACCGACCCGAAGCACG
rnacentral:ncRNA from 1 species